rnacentral:rRNA from 1 species
UAUGUGAUCGUCUCUCGCAUAUCAAUAAGCGGAGGAAAAGAAACUAACAAGGAUUCCCCUAGUAACGGCGAGUGAAGCGGGAAGAGCUCAAAUUUGAAAUCUUAAAGGGUUUCCCUUUACGAAUUGUAGUUUAAAGAAGUGUUUUCUGUUGAGGUUUUGGUAAAAGUUCUUUGGAAUAGGACAUCAUAGAGGGUGAGAAUCCCGUAUUUGACCUUUACUUUCAACUUUGUGAUACACUUUCAAAGAGUCGGAUUGUUUGGGAAUGCAGUCCGAAAUGGGUGGUAAAUUUCAUCUAAAGCUAAAUAUUGGCGAGAGACCGAUAGCGAACAAGUACCGUGAGGGAAAGAUGAAAAGAACUUUGAAAAGAGAGUUAAACAGUACGUGAAAUUGUCAAAAGGGAAGCGUUUGACACCAGUGUUGUUUUUCUGAAAAUCGAAUUAAAGAACUGUUUAUGCUAAGUUGUUUAGACUUUAUCAGCUAUCUGUUUAGUUUUGAGCUUUUCUUUAAUGCACUUUUCAGUUAACAAGUCAACAUCAAUUUCUUUUGCUGUAAAAAAGCUUGAGGAAGGUGGCUUGAGAUUCGUCUUAAGUGUUUAUAGCCUCUUGCCUAUGCAGUCGGAGAGAUUGAGGUCUGCAGCGUAGAUCCUUCGGGGCUAAAUGCAUUUGUGCUAAGUUAUAGCAUUUUAUAGACAACUUGUUGACUAUGAUUUGUCUUGUAGCUUACUCGCUUAUGUUAUUUUACCUACGCUUAGGAUGUUGAUCUACAGAGCGAGAGU